GCGCCGGUUGUGUAAAGGCGUAGAGCAUUCCCGCCCGGUCAGAGGGAGGUGCGGGUUCGAGUCCCGCCUGGCGCU
rnacentral:tRNA from 1 species